rnacentral:ncRNA from 1 species
AAAUCGGGAAAUAGGAUCCAUACCUUCACUAGAAGGAAUGGCUCUGAGGGCAAGGUCAGACAGGUCAAGAUCAGAUACAUAUCGAUCCAUUGAGGAGCUGUUCUCUUUGUUUGUUUGCUUAUUUCGAUGCUCAUUUUUGUAGAGUUACUGAACUCCAACUAUGACCGAUUUUCGGCAGUUCCAGCUGUUAGUAUUGUAUAGGCUAGCAAAGCGCAUGGAGCGGCUAACUCUGAAGUGACACAGACCAGAAUAAUCAGACUGUCUUAUUAAAACGAAGAGCAUUGAGAUGUCUACUGACCAGUUUUGACGCCCAAUAGCUAUGAAUGUCAAAGCGAAGAGAUCCAACCAAGCGCAGGUGAACCGUGCUAAAACUAACUCAUCCUAAGACUUAGAACAUAAUAAAUAUUAAAUAGAUAUCA